CCUCAGGGACCGGUGGGAACUGCGACGGGCUCAACGUCUCCGCUUUGUUCCUGCUCAACUUUUUCGACUUCUGGUAGAGUUCGUUCAGAACCUCAGUGAAGCUCCAAGAUACAGCUCUGCCUUUCUUGUCCACCUGGGGGCGCCGCAUCACUUCCUUCCCCCCCUGAAAUAACACCAAGGAAGGAAGCUGCUUGGACAGAGGGGACGUCGACACUUUGUACCUAAAGCAGCAACCCAUGGCAGCAACCGAGUUAAAGGGGAUGGAGAUUUACAGGGCACGCAGGCAGCUGACAGCAUCACUUCCGCAUCCGUCAUCUCGGAAUCAGUGGGAGGAAGCAGAGGAUGAGAUCCGGUGAAGAUGCUCCGUUGCGUCUGUUUUCUUACUUGAUUUUCCUUAAAAAAUAAUA